AUUCAGCUGACGAGUCCAAAAUAGGACGAAACGCGCGUUCUGAAU
rnacentral:hammerhead_ribozyme from 1 species